rnacentral:misc_RNA from 1 species
GAUGAAGAACGCAGCGAAAUGCGAUAAGUAAUGUGAAUUGCAGAAUUCAGUGAAUCAUCGAAUCUUUGAACGCACAUUGCGCCCCUUGGUAUUCCGAGGGGCAUGCCUGUUCGAGCGUCAUUAUAACCCCUCAAGCUCAGCUUGGUGUUGGGGCCUGCUGCACUGGCAGCCCUUAAAAUCAGUGGCGGCGCCAUCUGGCUCUAAGCGUAGUAAUUCUUCUCGCUAUGGAGUCCUGGUGGAUGCUUGCCAUCAACCCCCAAUUUUUCUAUGGUUGACCUCGGAUCAGGUAGGGAUACCCGCUGAACUUAAGCAUAUCAAUAAGCCGGAGGA